rnacentral:rRNA from 1 species
AUGUUCGAGUAUGUAAAUGUUGUCAGCAAGAUGUUUGAUAGUGAGGCUGAAGGCUAUGAAUUCAACAACAAAUAUGCUCUUGAAAAAGGUUUUAGUGUGAGGAAAAGCUACCUUGAGUGGGAUGGAUCCAACAAAUACAUAAUUUUAAGGAAAAUUGUGUGUAGUAGUCAAGGGUUUCACGAAGAGAAGCACAUGAAAAGAAAGAUGGAAGAUAGAAAGAGGAGGCCACGAAGUUUAACUCAUGUUGGGUGUAAUGCUAAAUUGGUCAUUACGUGA